UCCCUGGUGGUUCAGUGGUUAGGACUACGUGCUUUUACUGCCACAACCCCAGGUUCAAUCCCUGGUCAGGGAA
rnacentral:tRNA from 1 species